GGUGAAUCUGGAAAACAGUCUUUCCAGUGGUAAUUAGCAGUUCUGCUUCUCUUCUUGGCUGUAAUAAGGUGAAGUGAGAUGACAGCAGUGAGAGAGGAUGAGUUGAUUGAGCAAGAUGAGAAGGUGACUCUUCUGGAGGAAAUGCUACAGACAGUUCAGUUCUAUUGAGGAAAACACUUCUUUGACAUACUACCAUUUAGAGUGUCACAGUUCAAGACUCCUUGAAAGAAGAUGACUGUUUGAUCAUUCUGGAGAUCUGGACCCAUUAGUAAAUUGAAGACCUUAGAAGUUGUUCCCCUAAAGACAGCGUCUGGAUGUUUGCAAUUUCACCUUAACAACUCAAGGAAGUU